rnacentral:rRNA from 1 species
UAUGCCGCGUGUGUGAAGAAGGCCUUCGGGUUGUAAAGCACUUUUGUCAGGAACGAAACGGUGGGGGCUAAUACCUCCUGCUAAUGACGGUACCUGAAGAAUAAGCACCGGCUAACUACGUGCCAGCAGCCGCGGUAAUACGUAGGGUGCGAGCGUUAAUCGGAAUUACUGGGCGUAAAGCGUGCGCAGGCGGUUGUGCAAGACAGAUGUGAAAUCCCCGGGCUUAACCUGGGAAUGGCAUUUGUGACUGCACGGCUAGAGUGUGUCAGAGGGGGGUAGAAUUCCACGUGUAGCAGUGAAAUGCGUAGAUAUGUGGAGGAAUACCGAUGGCGAAGGCAGCCCCCUGGGAUAACACUGACGCUCAGGCACGAAAGCGUGGGGAGCAAACAGGAUUAGAUACCCUGGUAGUCCACGCCCUAAACGAUGUCAACUAGUUGUCGGGUCUUAAUUGACUUGGUAACGCAGCUAACGCGUGAAGUUGACCGCCUGGGGAGUACGGUCGCAAGAUUAAAACUCAAAGGAAUCGACGGGGACCCGCGCAAGCGGUGGAUGAUGUGGAUUAAUUCGAUGCAACGCGAAAAACCUUACCUACCCUUGACAUGUCAGGAAGCCCGCUGAGAGGUGGGGGUGCUCGACAGAGAGCCUGAACACAGGUGCU